rnacentral:rRNA from 1 species
AGUGAACGCUGGCGGUAGGCCUAACACAUGCAAGUCGAACGGCAGCACAGUAAGAGCUUGCUCUUACGGGUGGCGAGUGGCGGACGGGUGAGGAAUACAUUGGAAUCUACUUUUUCGUGGGGGAUAAAGUAGGGAAAAUUACGCUAAUACCGCAUACGACCUACGGGUGAAAGCAGGGGAUCUUCGGACCUUGCGCGAUUGAAUGAGCCGAUGUCGGAUUAGCUAGUUGGCGGGGUAAAGGCCCACCAAGGCGACGAUCCGUAGCUGGUCUGAGAGGAUGAUCAGCCACACGGGAACUGAGACACGGUCCAGACUCCUACGGUAGGCAGCAGUGGGGAAUAUUAGGCGAUGGACGCAAGCCUGAUCCAGCCAUACCGCGUGGGUGAAGAAGGCCUCCGGGUUGUAAAGCCCUUUUGUUGGGAAAGAAAAGCAGCAGGUUAAUACCCCGCUGUUCUGACGGUACCCAAAGAAUAAGCACCGGCUAACUUCGUG